GAUGUACUGUUCCUUUCGGGGAAUGAAUGAAGGAGUCAAAUAUAUAUGAUGAAAAGGCAUAUGAUUUGCAAAUUAUUAAUGCGGCCCUGGUCUAUUGUACGAAAUGUUCACAAGAUGGUGCUAUAUAUGUGGGACUUGUUACGCCUCUUACGGCAAAACACAUAACUAACAUGUCUCGGCGCCACCAAACGCCCACACGGGAAACCAAUAAACAAAGAUGACGAAAAAGACGCCGGAAAAACAAAGAAAAUCAUUGUUCUUUCUUAGACUCUUCUAGAGACCACAGUCAUAACUGCUGGAAGUCAUAAUUUAAUUAUAUCUGCUACACACUGAACAAAGUUAAAUAAACCACAAUUGUUACUUGAUGUGCAAAGUUUCUCUCUACAUAGUGGAUUGUCAACGAUAAACCCCAAACAUCGUCUACUGCUAUUAUUAUCAAGACCAUAUAAGAUUGCGCGUGCUGGCACAAUUUGCAAAGAAGUUUGUCGUUUUGCUGAUUACAAAUUUGCCGCGCGUCUUAUAGCCCGACCUUCCAUUGUCCUUUGUUAUUUACAAAUCGAAUUCUUUUGUGAUCUACAAGAUUUGGAAGAGAAACGGGCAAUAUGAAAGACAACAUAGAAGAGAAAGGCAACACAAGAGCUAAUAAGAAAAUUUAUAAAAAUAUUAAAUAAAAUUUAAACAGUAUGAACAAUAAACGUAAAUUGUCAUUUCUUUGUUCACAGAGAAACUUAUUUUCGUUUAUCACCACACCUUAUCUAUUCGAGAUAUUAUAAAACGACAAUUUUUGGUUUAUAAUGGAAAGAAAACAACAAUUCGCAUUUAAAUGUGUGGCAUCAUCGAGCGACAGAAAAACAAAUGUGAUUGCUAUAACUUCUAUCACAACUGAGGACAAAGAAACAUAUACGUUGCCAGAAAAUGAAAAAUUGGUAAGUAAUCACAGCGAACUAAUAAAAACAGAAAGCUAUAAGAGAAUGAAAAAAAGCCUCAAUUAAAGAGGCCAAGAGAAAAAAAUAUGGAUUAAAUGCACACAGGGAAUGGAGAGUACGUAUUUCGAUGAGGAUGGUAAUUUAAUGUUUAAUGAUCUAUACCUAGACGAAAUAGUAGAAGCGGACAUAGUAGAACCCACACAGAAAAAAGAACACCAAAUAGAUCUAAAGGGUAUAUCGGAAAAACUCAUGAUUGAAAAAUUUUUAUGUAGACACUCAAACGCAGAACAAUGGUUGGAGACUUUUGAAAAAGAAUGUCAAAGAUUCGAAAUUAAAGAAGAUAACACAAAACUUGAAAUCCUAAAAUUAUUUUUUGACAAGGCAGGUUCAGACUGGCACUCAGCAAUUUAAUUAACAACGUUAACAAUGGAGGCUAGUUGGAACAAAUGGAAACAAAAAUUCUUGAAAUCAUUUGAAGACAAGGGAUGGGGUAAUAGGUAUAUACGCUACAUCUUACAAAUAUAAAGAAGGUUCACUAAUAGAGUACGCUACAAGAAUCGCUAUUGGAUGUGGACAACAAGAUCAAUACAAAAAUCCUGAUAAUGCUUAUAGCAGCAGUAUUACCAAAAAUUAUAAGAGAUAAUAUAAACAAAGGAAAUUGUCGAAACUCAACAGAACUACUACAGGAGAUAAAAAAAUGUGAAAAUCUAAGAACAAUUUUAGAAAAGAGAAAGAGGAAAGACGAGAUAAUAACAAGAAAUUUGAAAAAAAAAAAAACCAUAUAAGAAUCGCGAAAAACUAAACAAAGGUAUUAGAUAUCAUUCAGAGGACGACUGUUGGUUUAAAAAAGAAAAUAGAAAAGAAACCAGAAUAAAUAAAAACAAUUCGAUGGUAGAAGUAGACUUAUGCAAGGAACAAAAAAACGAAUAACCACACCAUUGAUCAAAGUAAAAAUAGUAUUAGAAGAAAAGUUAGAAGUAAACGGAACAUAUGAUCCAGGUUCCCAAGUCUCUCUAAUAAAUUCGAGACUAGUCAAAAUAAAAGAAAAAGAAAAAGAAGCAAAAGAUAAAAACUGAAUAUUUUUGAAAACGGUCAAUUGUGUGACACAAACAAAAGAUUUAGUAACCAUUAAAAUAAAAAUUUUUGACAAAGGGGAAUACGUUGACGUAUUUAUUAUAGACAGAAAUGACUUUGAAGAUUUCAUUAUUGGAUUAGAUAUGAUAAAGGAAUUCAAACUAAUUCAGGAUGAGAACUUACAGGUAUCUCAAAAGAGAGAAACACAGACAAAGAAAUAUAUAAAUACAUUAGAUAGAAAGAAAGAAAUAAAAGAAGUUAAAAUAAACUUUAACGAACAUGUGAAUCAAGACGAAUUUAGAUCGGAUCUGAAUCACUUGGAUAAUAAAGAAAAAACAAGGAUAAAAAAACAUAUAGAAAAAUAUAAUUUUAUAUUUGCAAAAAAUAAAUAUGAUGUAGGCACCGUUUCGGACUUCGAAGCUCGAAUAGACUUACUGGUUGAUAAAUACUGCAGUAAGAGACCAUCUAGAUGCACUAUAGAGGAUAAAAAGGAGAUAGAGGACCAGGUGGUAAAACUAUUAGAAAAUAAAUUAAUGGAAGAAUCCUAUAGUCCAUUUGCAGCACCAGUAACUCUAGCAUUCAAAAGAGAUGAAAACAAACGAUCACGAUUGUGCAUAGAUUUUCGCGAAUUAAAUAAGAUAGUUACACCACAAGUUCAAUAAUUCCCACUAAUAGAAGAUUUAAUACUAAAAGCAAGAAACUGUAAAUACUUCACCACAUUAGAUAUAAAUUCCGCUUUCUGGUCAAUUCCAUUACGUAUUGAAGAUAGACAAAAAACAGGAUUCGUUACACAAGAGGGGCACCUCCAAUGGACAUGUCUACCGUUCGGACUAAAAACAUCACCAGCCAUUUUCCAGAGAAUACUAUCUAAUAUUCUAAGAAAACACAAAUUAAAAGAUUUCUCAGAGAAUUACAUAGACGACAUAUUAAUUUUUUCAGUAUCAUUCCAAGAACAUAUAGAACACAUAGAGAGAGUAAUGAAGGCAAUAGUAAACGAAGGUUUCAGACUAAGAUUUAAAAAAUGUACAUUUGCAACAAAAUCAGUGAAAUAUCUCAGACACAUAAUAGAUCACAAUACAGUAAGACCAGUAAAAGAUAAUCUUUUCUCAAUACAAAAUUUUCCCACUCCAAAAACUCAAGAGAAUAUUAGACAGUUUCUCGGAAAAAUAAAUUUUUAUCACGAAUACAUACCGAAAAGCUCAAUAUUGCUAGACUCAUUACAUAAACUGUUAAGAAAAAAUGAAUGGUUUAUAUGGUCUGAGGAGUGUGAAAAAUCUUCACAAAUAUAAAAAAAUCAUUAUGUUCUCAACCAGUGUUGCAAAUAUUUGACAGGAAUUUACCAAUAAAAAUUUACACGGAUGCAUCACUGAAAGGCAUUGGUGCAAUAUUUAAACAAAUACAGAGUGAUGGUAAAGAAAAGCCAGUAGCAUACUUUCCAAAAAAAUUAAAUGAGUCACAAAAAAGAAAAAAAGCAAUUUACUUAGAAUGCCUGGCAAUCAAGGAAGCGGUAAAAUACUGGUAACAUUGGCUGAUCGGAAGAAAAUUCAUGAUAUUCACAGAUCAUAAACCAUUAGAAGGUAUGAACAUAAAGAACUAGCCCUAGAAAGAACAAAAAAGUCACAUGAAUAUAACAAAAAGAUAUUUAACAAGAAUAGAAAGAACCACCAGUUGAACACAGGAGAUCUGUUAUAUAUAGAAGAUGGCAAUAAAUUGAACAGAAAGAAAUUAGACGAAUUGAGAAUUGCCUUUUCCAAAUAAUAAAUAAAAUUUCAGAAUCUAUAUACGAAAUAAAAACAGGAAAACAAAUACAAGAAACCGGAUUCUUCCACAUAACAAAACUACUUCCGAUAUCAAAAGAUGGAAACGAGGACUAAAAAUUGCAGGAAUUUUAUUCUGGGGGGGGGGGGGAUGUAAAGAAAGUAUACUUCCUUCAGGAAGAUUUGCCGCGCGUCUCAUAGCCCGUCCUUCCAUUGUCCUUUGUUAUUUACAAAUUCUUUUGUGACCUACAAAUCUAGCCGUUAAGAUUUGGAAGAGAAACGGGCAGUAUGAAAUAUAACGUAGAAGAGGAAAGUAACACGAGAGUUAUAAGAAAAUUUACAAUAUAUAUUAAAUAAUAUUUAACAGUGUGAAUAAUAACCGAAAUUAUCGUUUCUUUGUUCACAGAUAAUCAUUGCUUCUCAAGUCAAUUUCGAUCUACAUUGCAAAUGAGUAUUUUGGAACCACCGUAGAACUUCUUAAGUAUUCUUUCCACAUAGUGGGAUGUCAGCAAUAAUUUGAUCACAAUUGAUGACCUCGACGUGAUCUUUGUGCAUCAAGAGUUUCUACAAAAGGAAAAAUGUAUCGGUGUCAGCCAUACUGCCUCAUGUUCAUAACACUUGAAAAAGAAUCACAAACAUCGGACACCAUGUUAGGAUCUCUGGUUCAUCAUGGCUGAGGCUGAAUUCAUUACUUUUGGAAUCGUUGAUGAUAAAGUAAAAUACCUGACCGUCCUUGAGGCCCUGAUUUCAGACGUGAUACAACAGGAGCCCGCUACAGAACACCUUCUCAGCUACUGCGACAAAUACGCGAAUUGGCUGAUGGUUUCGCUGAUGAUACCAUAUUGCAACAACUUUGGCUUGAACGAAUACCAACAUAUAUCAAACCCUAUCUGAUUACCACAAGUAAACUUCCACUUGAUGCUAUAGCCGAGUAUGCGGGCCGUUUUUACAAGCUGAUGCCUUACGUUCAACAGAAUAACCAGGUUAUGUAUGGCAAUCUUUACACGCUAUUUUGCAUCACCGACUCUUUAUGACAUUGACUCGAAGUUCAUAGAUAUUAAAAAAUCUUUUGUGAUGGAGUUCAAUGAGUUUAUAUCACAAUUGAUUCUACUGCAACAACAAAACCAAAAACUGUAGGCUUGACAAUCUCCGAAGCAUCAUAAUCGCAGCAGUCCAAGAUCAUAGACACCUAUUUGUAAUAGAAUCUCCUAUUAUCAUCAAAGUUUUGGCAGCGAAGCAAAACGCUGCCUUUUACCUUAUAAAUUCGCUUCAAUUGACAACUUGACAACAACAAAUCAGGGAAACUAACGUCGCUGUCAUUUGUAAGAGCAGUGAAAGACAGCAACUCCAGACCAAAAGAGCUCGGAUUACACUACCAAACAGAAAUUCUUGAUUGACUCUAGGUCAGUCGUGUCCAUAACAUUCGCUAAAAAGUUUCAUAAAAAUAGAAAUACCGACUCACACUUUAUGCUGCAAAUUCAUCACAAAUAUACGGCACUAAAAUUAUCAUCCUUGAUUUAAAUCUCCGCAGAGAUUUUUGCUGGUCUUUUAUCAUCGCACACGUGGAAAUAGCAAUCAUCGGAACCGAUUGCUUAAUUCACUAAAACUUGUUGAUUGAUUUAAAAUACCAACAAUUGGUAGAUCUAGUGUCUCAUCUCUUGUCAAAAGGUAAUGCAAUGGAAGCAGAUCAUUACGGCAUCUCAUCUAUAAGUUCAGAUUUGUCUACUGAGUAUGCUGAACUUUUAAAACAAUUUGUUGAGAUCACUUGGUUGAUUAUCAAACCAUGCUUAAAUUUAAAAGCAUGUUCAUUUGCGCACAAAAUUAUUGCGCAUGGUCCACUAGUCACUGCCCGAGCACAUAAACUAGCGGGUGAAAAGGCAGCGGCGGCAAAAACUCAAAUCAGAGAACUUCUGAACUCCAGAAUCAUUAAAUCCUCCAGCGGAAUGUACGCCUAUCCUAUUCAUAUGAUACGAAAGAAAGACAACUGUUGGAGAACGUGCGGUGACUACCGUAAACUCGAUAAUGCUACUGAUCCUGACUUAUAGUUCUCCGCUCAUUGAAGAUCUCUUAACGUAUUUACACGAUAGAAGAUAUUACAGCAAAAUCGACAGCGAAAAAGCAUAUCUACAACUAUCUACGCACGUGAACAUUGAAUAACUGGCAUUAUAACACCUUGGGGUUGAGUACUUAGGUAUGCCUUUUUGUCUAAAAAACCGCACCCAGUCUUACCAACGAAUUAUGGACGCACUUUUCAGAGACCUGGACUUUGUCUUCGUCUACGUGGAUGGCAUUCUGGUAUUCUCUGACGAUGAAGACUAAUAUCUGGAACACAUACACAUUGAACGCUUAAAAGACAACAACCUUAUUAUUAAUCUCAUAACCUGCCUGUUUAAGCAAACGGAAAUAAACUUCCUGGGAUAUUCCAUUAAUGAUCAUGGUUACAAUCCAACGUGUGAACUAGUUGGUACCAAUAAAGGAUAUCAGGAACCUAAAACUAUCGUGGAACUACGCAGAUUUCUUGGCAUGAUCAAUUAUUAUUACUGUAUACUUCAGAAAAUUCAGAUCAUGUUGCCUCUCAACGGUUACCUUAAAGUGUCAAUAAAAAUGAUAUAUCCAAGAUCGCAUGGAUUCCCGAAGCCAAUAAGGCAGUUGAAAUAUGCGAAAAUACUUCGCAACAAUCACAUUGCUCGCUUUUCCGAUUUCUAACGAACCAAUUACUCUCACAACCGACGCAUUCGCAACUGCUAUCGGAGCUAAAUUAGAACAGCUGGAAGAUGAUACCUAAGAACCCAUAUGGUUUUUCUCCAGAUAACUGAGCCAAACAUAAAACAGGAAUACAGCACAUACGAUCGUGAAUUUCUUGCUAUUUUAGCAUCAGUCAAAUUUUUGCAUCACUUGUUUGAUUUCCGUCAGUUUGUCAUCAAAAUGGACAACAAACGACUUACUUUUGUCUUCAAACUAAAACUGAACUAAACAUCGAAACGUUAACUACUAUACCUCGAAUAUAUCUCACAAUUUUUCACUGAAUUAGUCCAUAUGAAGGGUGAUGAUAGCACAGUCGCAGAUAUACUAUCCUAAUUAAUACUAUAAACAUGCCAUCCAUUCUCACAUCUCUUGAAAUCCAACAAGCACAACUGAACGGCAAUGAUCUAGCUGAUCUGAUGAGAGAUACAACUUCAUUGAGACUACGAAAACUCACACUAGUACCAGGAAUGAACAUCUAUUGUGACAUUUUGGUAGGAUUCAUCAGACCAUUCUUACCAGAACCAUUACGCUAGACAGUUUUCAAAGUCAUUCAGAAUUUUUCACAUCAUAGCGGCUGGACCACAUCUAUGAAUUUAUGCGAAAAAUACAUUUGGCCUGAUUCUUAAGGACGCAUUCAAAUGGUCUAGAGAAUAUCUUGCUUGCCAAAAAGGAAAAAUUCACCGUCACAAUAAGAUCAAGCCAAUCCACAUAGAUGUACUUGAUAAUCGCUUUAACAAUAUUCAUUUGGACAUCACCUUUCUACUGAAGGUCAAACACCACCGAUAUUGCUUAAUUCUUUCGCGACGGCACACCUAUUCCAAACUUUGUUGUCUUCCGCGAAAGCGCAGUAACACUUUGUCAGUAACACUUUGUAGCGAUCUCUACUCAUAAUUUUGCAAAAGAUGUCACUUCGCAAUAAUUUAUUUUUGCUUCAAUAUUCAUCAAUUGAUAAUUUCUUCUCUCUAGACAUUAGUAAGCAAACAGCGAUAAAACAGUACAGUUCGUCUUUGUCCCAGGUUCAGGAUUACUAUUAUCUCUUCGUCUCCAUUGAUUAGUUGUUUUUUUCAACAAUGAAAUCUAUCAAUUUCUCAGAUACGAAUAAUUUGAAAAAUCGCAAAAUUUUCCAAGUAUCAGAAAUGUCUGUUUGAAUUCCCGAUUGUUGUCUUGUAAAAUCAUGAAUGGUGAGCCCACAAUUUUGGGAAGUCCAUCUGAUAUUCGGAUUGAUGCUUUGUUAAUUAACAUCUUCAGUUUCAUCAGAUUUCGAUGUACUAAGUAAAUUUAAUCACCUUAUUUUACGAAAUGUUGUAUUUAUGUAAGAUUCGUUUUCAUCAUAUCUAUCCGAAUUAGUCUCGCUCACCGGUUUCCGUGUUAUAUUCCAUUUUAACCCUUUGAGUGCUGAAUACUCGUUGCCUGUGUAGUCCGUACGGUCGGCGCGCGGCAGGCACUGACGAUCGCUGGGGAUUAAAUACUUUUUCGCGCAGUAUGGUUUAUAACACAUAAUAUACGGUCGACGGUUUAUAACACAUAAUAUAGUAUACAAUCCAACUACUAUUCUGUUGUCUAUUCCACAUUGAAUGAAAACAUUUUUAUUUUCAAUAUUUACCAUUUACUCACCUGCUAGAAUUUGAAAUCCCAGUAAUUUGAUAAUGUAUUUGGAUAUUCAAAAUCAGAAAAUUUAACAAAUCAUAAGAAGGAUUAUAUAACCAUGGAAAGGCUUCAAAUAUAUAUAUUUUAAGAAAUUAACAUUUAAUACAUUGAUUUUUUAAGAAAAAACAAUAGGAAAAUUAAUAAUUCAUUUGCGUAUGAUAAAUCUCAAAACAAGUAUCAACACAUAAUCCGACGUUGCAUUUUUUACAUUCAUAUGGUGUAUCCAUCCUUCUUUGCUGUCUUCUACAGACAACACAUUUCCUUCUUGUCGAUUUUCUCUCUGCAUUUAAAAUUUUUGAAGGGAAAUGUCUCUCAGUCAAACGAAAUGGUAGGUUCUCUAUGCUUCUUUUGCCACCGCUCACUUGUUUUCUAUUUUGCAGGUAUUUUUGCAGAAUUUGUUUGAUUAAUGAUAGAUGAAAAUCCUUAUGUUGUAGUUUUUUUACCAGUCACACAUUGAUACAGGACAUACGAGUUAUAUAAUGAGAUGUCUACUAAUUGGAAAAAAUACUUCUUAUAUCACUUCAGCCAUUUUCUGCAUGAAUUAAUUGUACUUAGAACCAUGUCAACGUGGUCUACAGAGCUCAUUUUGAUGUAUUAAUCUGCAACACAUUCAGGUUUUAACUUGGGCGAUUCUGUAAGAUAAUUUCUUUGGCCAGAUUCUAUCAUUUUCGGUUCGUAUGCACUUAAUAACAUCCAUACAUCUUUUCUAUCUCGCCACUUCAAUGCCAAUAAAUUAUCUGUACAUCUGUAGUCAAAUUGUCCUUUUGUUAAUUUUUCCUCGAUAUGGGGCAUAUCUCUUCUGUUUUUUUCGUACUGUCUCAAACGCAUUAGUUUUAUGUUUAUGAAGUACAUUAUACAAAUGCGGGGUUGUGUACCAAUUAUCUGUUAUCGAUAAAUGGCCUUUUUUAAGGUAUGGAUGUAAAAGUAUCAUAACAACAUCUGCCGAUUGCCCAAUGGUUGUAGAAUUACGUACAGUAUCUAUUUUUUUUCAGUAUAUAUUAUAUAAUCUAAUACAUAGUUUGUUUGCAGUCGCACAAGAUAAAUGGUUUGAUACCAAAUCUUCUUCUUUUGGACGGAAUAACUUGUUUAAAGUAACACCGACCUUUGAAUAACAUAAGGCUUUCGUAAAUGCACAAAUCUUUGUACGGAUAAAAUGACUGUGAGAAAGAGUUCUUCAGAGUAUCAAUUAUAGGUCGUAUUUUUAUCAAUAGACCAUCAAUUUGUACAUUAUUAUCAUUAAAAUGCAACAUUUGUAAUAAUAUCAUAUAUCUGUCUCGCGCCAUAGUUCUUCGAACAAUAUUAUUUUUUAACAUGUGAUUGGUCGACCAAUACUCUUUUAGAGUCAAUUCUUCACCCGCGGCAUUAACAUCGUGAUAGCAAAAAAUCCGUACAUCUCACAUAUUGAUGUGUCUUCCCAAGUAUUAAUAAGAGAAUACGUUUUAAAUGUUGUAAUUUCAAUAAUAAAUUUAUAAUAAUUGUUCGUCUCCUCCGUAAUAUGUGAAACUAUCCCUUCUGAGAAGAAGAAUUGAAAAGCAUCUAAAGGCGUAGCUUUUGGAGUUAAAUUUCCUUUUACUUCAGAAUUUUUAUCGUCAAAUGCAUGUAGUGGGGGCUUGAAAUCGUUUUACGACCAUGACAACGUUGGAAGAACUUCAUUCAAGUCGGAUCUUUCUAAAUUCGAAUUUGAAUUUAUUUAAAUCAUCCUCAUCGGAAGAUGUGCUAAGUAUUCUUUGCUGUUUAUUUUUCCUUCUACAUAUAACUAUCUCAUUAUUUACGCUAUUUUCUGUAUCUUCCGAAUUACGUAUUUACGUGCACUAUAAGUUUAAUACGACAAUAUGCUAAUGUAACAGUUACAACUACAUGGCGUAACAAAUGAAAUUAUCAGAAACUAACUGAAAUGGCGUCUAAAACUAAAUUUUGUUUUUUAUUGUUGCUAAGUGAUGAGGUAUGUGGUUUCUGCGAGUGUCGCAGACAGAAUGUUGGACAAUAAAAACAAUUGUCGAACAUAAACGAUUGACCAUAGUACACUGAUCAUUUUUGCCAGACGCUUAUUUGCGUCUAUAGUCCAUACUGAUAAAAUCUAUCGAGCGUGUAUUUGGAUCUAUAGUCUAUAUGGAUAGAUUUCCCUGGACGCAUAUAUGCGUCCAUAGCACUCAAAGGGUUAAUAUGCUAUCGGUCGGUUGGCGAUAAAAUGCCGAUUAAUAGGCUAUCGGUCGGUAAAGUGUUAAGUCAUUGUUUCAGUCGAAAAAACAAUAACGAGAUAUCUCGUGACCCGUAUGCAAUGUGUUAAAAAAUCAAGGACAGUGAACAGUUUUAACAGAUUUUUCUAAAUUGUUUUUGGUAGCUUGUGGCUCUGUUUUAUGGAGGAGUGAGUAAUAAGAAUUGCUGAGUGGUAUAUCUUGAAGGCAUUUUUUUGAAAUUAUAAUCAAAAACAUUGUGUUUUUUGUAUAUUUAAAUAAAAUUAUUUCAAUGGUCAGUACUAUGACUCCAGCUGUUUAUUAUAUGAACAUAAAUGAUAUAGUCAAUAUAUUUUGCAAAAAGAAGAUUGUGCAUUAAAUUAUUCUCUGAUGACACGUUAAUAUACUGGUGAUAGUUGUACGGAAUUGAAGAGAAAGGUGAAUGAGGCCUUAAGCAUUGUGGAAGAAUGGAUGAAUAGGACUUAAUUAAAAAUGAAUACAGGGAAAAUUUAAUACGUAACUAUAAGUAGUGUAAGGAAAGAGAUGAGACGAAAAAUUGUAUAUGAAUGUAUGAAUGGAAUAGAGGUAGAUAGAGUGGAAGUAAUGUAGUAUCUUGGUAUAAUGAUUGAUGAUAGACUUAGUUUUAAAGACCACUGCGAAUACAGGUUAAAAAAAUUAGGAAAGGAAGUUUUCUGAACAAAGUAGUCCAACAGAGCAGUACUGUUCACAUAACCA